rnacentral:tRNA from 1 species
GCCUGGGUGGCUCAGUCGGUUGGGCAUCUGACUUCAGCUCGGGUCAUGAUCUCACGGUUCAUGGGUUCGAGCCCUGUGUCAGGCU